GUUUUCUCAGCUUCUGAUUGGAAGAAGCUCUUGUUGCAGCAUUGCCUCGACGUCGACGAUGGCGAAAGCGCAGAACAUUGUAGCUGCUGGUGAAAGCUCAUGGUAGUUGAUAUGGUAAUAUCUUCUUCUGAAUCAUCUCUGUUAACUUGUUUCAGUUUUUAUUGAAAUCUAUGAUCUUAGGUUUUUUUAAUUCAAUUAAUUUUUGUUAACGAAUCUGAUUCCUCUGCAUCUGGCUUAUGUUGCAAUUGUGACAACGUGAUCAAUAGUGGAAAGAAUCAUUUGAUGAUUUAGAGUGAAUUUAACUGUAAUUGCAGUUUAAAAAAUGUCAUCGUUAUCUUCUUUCUUUUUUUGAAGAAUCAUUUGUUGCCUGUAAUUUCUAAAUUUAAUUAAGAACUGAUAGAUUGAGCAUCUAUACAUCAUUUCCUGAUGGGACGACAAUAUGUGCUGUGAGGAGGGCUAGCAACACUCUUUUUCCAACGGUCUGUCAUUAAUCGGUUGGAAUUCAUGUGGGUCCCGUAUUUUUAGUUGACGCCACUUAAAUUUUAACCGAUCAAUGAGAGAAUGUUGGAAAGAGAGUGUUGCUAGCAUUUUUCUAUGUGCCAUUAUGCGUAAAUGUAAAUCGCUACUUGUAAAUGGAAAAUUGGAUAUAUGAAUGAAUGGCAUUGCACAUACAAGUGAUUCAUUUGAAGAGCUAUCUAAACUCUAAUCCCUCUAGCCAGAGUAAGGCUCCCUUUAUAUCUUUACCGUCAAACCGGGGAGUGUGUUGCUUCAUUUGAUUUUACUGCCAUACUAAGAUAUAGACACCGCUCUAGUUGCAGUUCCAGCAAUUAUGUUAAUAAAUUAUUAUAUUUUUUUAGCUAUAUAGUACUUUUUAAGUGUUUUGUACUAUCAUCAAUAUAACAAUAUCUAUGUGGUGACAAUGAACUCACUACAAACUGGAAAGAAGUAGAGAAUGUCAUGAUGCAGUGGUCCCAGACAGAGGCAAUUGCAGGGCAAACUAAGUGUGAAUAGGUAUCAAAUGGGACUUUGUUGUUUUGAAUCAUGCAUUAAUGAUUAACGUACAGUUCUUCAGUCCUAACUUCUAUAUCGAAUCAGGAUUUGGGAGGAAGAGUAAAGAAAAAUCCAGAAGAAAUAAAAUGAAUAAGUAGAAUCUGCUUCAGCAUGAAAAAGUGAAAAAUUAAACUGCUGUGGAACUUUUAGUUCGGUCGUGCUUCCUAACCUUAAACUGAUAUUGGCUGAUCUUGCUCCAAUCCCAAUGUUAUGCUUUUGAUUGAUGUUUUCUGAUUUGUAGAACCAUAAUUAGCUAAAAAAGCAUUACUACCUAAAUUUUUUAUAAUGUUCAAUGCUCACAAUCUCAUUAGUCAUUACUGUCUGCUGCACCGAACGAACAUUGAACAAUAAUCGUGGUGUUUUUUAAUUGUGAAAAGGAUAUUAACUUUCAUUUGCUGUUCUCAUUGUUCCCAUCAUUGUAUGUUGAAGCAGCACUUCCCUAAGCUUGCAUCUCAUGCUAUCUCCUGUAUAACUUUGAUGAUCUGUAGUAGGAUUGGCUUUAUGUUGGUUUUGCAUUUAGGUUUCAAAAAUAAUGAAAUAUUUUGCAGUUUAAAGCAUUCAUUUUAUUUUUGGAAUGAAUUAACACCUCGAAGGGUUAACAACACCUCGCUUUUGGUAAAAUGGUAAGUGACUUAUCCUAUGUCAUGCUGUCAUGCAGACUGAGUCUAGCAUCUUAUUUUUUGAACUAUGAAUUAUCUUAUUUUGUUAAUACUAUUGAUAUUCUACUUUCUAUUUUCCUAGGCAUACCAUUUUUGGUUUAUAUACCGAACACAUGCACCCGAAAAUCACAAGAAACAGAAGAAAUAAAAAGAGAAGACUGUAAAAACAAAUUAAUAUCAAAGAUUGUUUUACAACAUGAGACAAUACAAUGGUCUAGAAUUCAGUUUUGAAUCUAUUAUGCUCAACAAGUCUACUUUUGUUAGUUAAGGGUUAAAACUUGUCUAUAGCAUUUUAAGACUGAAGACACAAGAGAUCGUUAGAUUUGAAAUACUUCGGAAAGAUGAUGUUACAGAAGAAUUUCACUAUAAUUGUGCUCAACUGAAAAACUAGUGCGAAUGGAUCUUUUCUUUCCCUGAAUGAAAAUAAAAGAAAACAUUUUAUGUUGGAGUAGCUGUGAUCAUCUAUUCUGUUUUCUCAGAUGAUUCGUGUUCACUGAAUUGCUUUUUAUAAAUUAUGUAGUAACUUGACUGUACAACAUGCCUCUCAAUGGCAAAACUCUUAAAACUGGAUUGAGAAAAGGGAACAACCAACUGUGAAGAAGAUCUUUUGAGAAUGCAGGAACAGGAUGAAUGUGUUAAGACCUGUUGUGAAUAGGAUCUGAUCCUCUUCGCACUCUUCUUUUGCUUGACUGGUUUGGAUCAAACCCUUUGUUGACGUUUGCUGGAUUCUUCAUUCCAGGAUCAAACCCAUUGUUGUUAUUUGCUGAAUUCUUCUUCGUGUUCAAUAAUUCCUUCUCUGUAGCUCUCAUAGUAUGUUGAUUCUGCAGCAUUAUCCUGUGGUCUUUUAGGCUCUGUCUUAGUGCAAUUUCUGAACUUCUCAGGCCUGUCACUUCCUCCGGUUGAAUUGAUAUUAAGAACCCAAGAAAGAGAAGCAGAAGACUUAUUCUAGACGGACGAAAUACCAUAUUCAAUUCACUCUGAAACAAGAAGAAUUGAGGGUUUGUUCUUUCUGUUCAGAGUGACAGGAGAAUAAGCAACUCUCUGCUAGUAAUAUGGGUAUUCUCAUGGUCCAUUCCUGUAGAUAUAAGCUUGUUAUAUAUGUCCUACCAGAUUUGGAGGGGGCUUUAAAGCUUAAAGCAGGGUGGGCCUACAGGAAUUUUAGAUUCAUCUCGAAUCAGAAGCCUGAAAUCUUAACAAGUUAAGGCUGUUAUUGAAGAAUCUGACAAGAAUGAAUAAAGUGAUUGGGACAAUAUCCUUGAGAGGCCAAGUAUCUUUCUUUUUUUCAUUUAUUUCCCUACAUCUCUAUCAUAUGCCUGCUUUUUUCAAUAAAAGAAGCCAAACCUAGUUGCUUGGACUCCUUCCAACUUGCCACAUCACACAACUACUAUACCUGUAGUAUAUGGAUAAAUAGGUUUUAGUGUCUUACACUCUUGAUUGCCUGUGGUAUUACUUGGUUUUGGCUCACAAAGAUUUAAUUGUUCUCACGUCAGCAUAUGCUUGCCUUAAGUCCAUAACAGGUUACAUAUUUUGCCCAAGUAUAGGUUGGAAUUUUUCUUUUUAAAUAACUUGUUAUAUUAUCACCUCAAAUAAAUAAGGUGGAUUCUAGUAAGAGUUGAUACUUUAAUUUGGUAAUCUGAUAGAUGAUAUGUAUCAUUCUUCUACAAUUGGUUAUGAAGUUAAAAUCAAUCUUGGCCAUAAGUCUGUGAGUAACUUCUGGCUGUCAGAAUUGAUUCUGAGAAAAAAGAAGUUAAUCCAAACACGCUAGUAACAUUUGCAAAUAGUGCAAGUUUACUGCAUAUAAAAGUUCUAGUAUGGUAUGACUAUUUUGGUAAAUGACCAUUUCUUUGUUAUUAAGAAAGGGCAGUAUUUAAACAUUUGUUUCUUUUAAUUAGAAUGACUGGGCCACACAGAAGCAGGGGAUUGCCACAGUGGAAGUGCAAGCAGGGUCAUAGAAAGGAUAGAUGGGAGGAAUAGAACAGUCCCCAAAAGAAACAAACUAUUGCUUUAUGCUCUUUUCUAACUUCUAAGAUCUAUCCACUUUAGAAUUCCAAGCUCUCUUCCCAAGGUUAUGUUUUCAAGUUACACGACCAUCACAUUAAGAGAGGGAACCAUAGACGUCAUUUUUUCUUUAAAUAAGACAUUUAAUUUUUUUUGUCAUGAGGCUGAUGAACUGUUCCAUUAGUAGGAUUAUGGGAAUAGUUACACUCUUAUGUUGAUUUGGGUUUAGUGCAGACAAGGAUACCCUAUAUUUACGCAUUCAUGAUAUUUGGACCGUGCGAA